GAGCCACCGCUCCCGGCCCAGAUGUCUGAUUGCUUUUACAACAAUUUAGAGCUGUAACAGAGGUCAGAGGAACGCGGGCAAAAGAAAAACAGAAAGGAGAGAAAGCUGUUAAAUUUCUGCUUAUCCCCUUCAUGACAAAUGGUUUGUUUUGGCGGUUGGUUGCACAAGGACUGUUAUGGGUUCCUUAUAAUUUCAGUCGCUCCUAUUUCACUGACUGUUCCCAUUAGCAUAAAUAAGACAAAAUGAACAAAUUCCCUCUGUCCCGAUGUCAUAAAUUCUGAAAGACAAAAACCAAAAUAAAAGAAUGCAAUUCAGUACAAGAGGACAAUGGAAGUGCUAGCAUUACUGACAACAAUGAUCUUACCUAGAGCAGUACUAAAAUAAUUUUUGCCCUAAAUGGUUCUUAAAGGAUUGAAGAGAAGCUGGACUGGCUAUACACACAAAUCAAAUAGGAUAUUUUAUAUUCAAAAAGGAAAGGAGGCUAACAUUUUAAAAUGACUACUGUGGGACAUACUUUGUCGCCAUGUUAUUUCAUUCAGCAUUCAC
rnacentral:lncRNA from 10 species